UAAAAAGAAGAAAAGGAGAAGAAAAUUUCAUUUUUUCUUUUCUUCUUCUUCUUCUCUUCCCUUCACCGCCAAGAUUUUUGAAGACAUCCAACUUCCAUUUUUUAUUUUCUUUUUCCUUCUUCAAUUUUCAGAGAACUUCUAAGAGAGAGUUUUGAAGAAGAAGAGAAAUUUUACUAGAAUUUUGAGGUUGAAGAAGAGGAGGAGAACUCAAGCAAAGUGUAUCCAUGGCUGAAUUUUAGUUCAUUCUGCACAUCACUGGUUUUUAAUUCGGUUUGAACUCUUCAAAAGGAAUUAAGAGGGCAGUUGGUUUUCACUCGAAAUCAGGAGGUCUCUGGUUUUUCUUAUAUUUCAGAGUGUAUCGGUGGAGUUAGAAUCUGUAUUUGGUAUGGUUGGAAAGCGUAUUCAAUUUAGUAAAACUUUCAUGAAGAAAUUGUAAACCAAAAACGACAAAAAAUCAGUUAAAUUGUAGGGACAAGUUAAAGAGGUCGUGUGCGCACGAUUCUGGAAGUGGUUCUGUUUUGAGGGUUAUAUGUGUUUAUGCACGGGGAAUCAGAUUUAUAUGUCUUCAGGCCGAGAAGAAUUAAACCAAGCUUAUAGACCAAGGAUCUAGCCCAAGGCUGUGAGUGACAAAACCAACUUUGAAAUAUUUUCCAUAAUUGUUAUUAUGAUUGAAUGCGAUAAAUGUUUGUUUACGAAGCCAUGAAAGGUAUUUGAAUUUCAUGACUAUUUUCAAGUAUACAUUUGGAGACUAGAUUUCUUAAAGAAAUUUAUGCUAGCACGUAGAUAUUAAAUGUUUGGAAAGUAUUUAAACGACAAUAUUUUAAGCAAAGCAUGAAUUAAUAUGAAGUUUUGUUUUAAGAACUACAAUUUUCCGCGAAAGAGCUGAGUAAAGUUCGAGCUUUGUGUAAAAUUUAUAAGCAGGCAAGUUUUAAUAUUUUAAGAUGAUUUAUGAAAUUUUCAUUAACUACAUGACUGAGAUCUUGAGCCUGAGGCUAGAGAUUACCGUGUGCACACUGGUUAGAUUCCGUUGUUGACGUUGAGUGUACUCCAUAUCAACGAGGCUGUCGUGAGUGCUGGGCAGGCCCCACUACGACAAAGACGAUGGGAGUGCUGGGCGGACCCCACUACAUCGUAGUGCUUGUAAACGUUGUUGUACUUGGUGUACCCUACACAACGUAGAUUCGUCAUGUUAGUUAAAAUGCUUCGAUAUACUUGAUAUGCCUUUCUAUAUUUCAAUGAUUAACAUGCUGAGUAUUUAAGGAAGCUAUUCUUACUACUACACAUUUACAUUUACGACUUGUAUAAAUAGAUUUAUAUGUGUAAAGUUUUCACGUGCUCUUAUCUUUAAAUUCAUAGUUUUAAACUGAGUCACUCACUGAGCUUCAUAGCUCACCCUUUCCAAAAUGUUUUACCCAUUUUCCAGGUAGAGAUCGAGUUUCCGGUGCCUGAUAGACUGCCUUAGUCUGCGGAAGCUUCAUUAUCGAUUGCCAGUACGUGUUUUGAGUUGGGCAUAGAGUCUGUUGUGUUGUGAUGUAUAUACACCCUUGUAUGUUAUAGAUACUCCACAGUUUGUAUAUGCUUUAGGAGUUGUAGUUGUGUAAAUUUUGUUGGUUAUAUUUUGAUUAAGGUGUCUUUAGGUUUACUCGUGAAAUCGGUAAAUUUUGAGGUACACUUCAUGUA